GAAAUACCACCCUUUAAUGUUUGAUGUUCUAACGUGGACCCGUAAUCCGGGUUGCGGACAGUGUCUGGUGGGUAGUUUGACUGGGGCGGUCUCCUCCUAAAGAGUAACGGAGGAGCACGAAGGUUGGCUAAUCCUGGUCGGACAUCAGGAGGUUAGUGCAAUGGCAUAAGCCAGCUUGACUGCGAGCGUGACGGCGCGAGCAGGUGCGAAAGCAGGUCAUAGUGAUCCGGUGGUUCUGAAUGGAAGGGCCAUCGCUCAACGGAUAAAAGGUACUCCGGGGAUAACAGGCUGAUACCGCCCAAGAGUUCAUAUCGACGGCGGUGUUUGGCACCUCGAUGUCGGCUCAUCACAUCCUGGGGCUGAAGUAGGUCCCAAGGGUAUGGCUGUUCGCCAUUUAAAGUGGUACGCGAGCUGGGUUUAGAACGUCGUGAGACAGUUCGGUCCCUAUCUGCCGUGGGCGCUGGAGAACUGAGGGGGGCUGCUCCUAGUACGAGAGGACCGGAGUGGACGCAUCACUGGUGUUCGGGUUGUCAUGCCAAUGGCACUGCCCGGUAGCUAAAUGCGGAAGAGAUAAGUGCUGAAAGCAUCUAAGCACGAAACUUGCCCCGAGAUGAGUUCUCCCUGAGACUUAGAGUCUCCUGAAGGAACGUUGAAGACGACGACGUUGAUAGGCCGGGUGUGUAAGCGCAGCGAUGCGUUGAGCUAACCGGUACUAAUGAACCGUGAGGCUUAACCUUAC
rnacentral:rRNA from 1 species